GAUGAACGCUGGCGGCGUGCUUAACACAUGCAAGUCGAACGAAGCACUUUAACCUGAUUCUUCGGAUGAAGGUUUUUGUGACUGAGUGGCGGACGGGUGAGUAACGCGUGGGUAACCUGCCUCAUACAGGGGGAUAACAGUUAGAAAUGACUGCUAAUACCGCAUAAGACCACAGAGCCGCAUGGCUCGGUGGGAAAAACUCCGGUGGUAUGGGAUGGACCCGCGUCUGAUUAGGUAGUUGGUGGGGUAACGGCCUACCAAGCCAACGAUCAGUAGCCGACCUGAGAGGGUGACCGGCCACAUUGGGACUGAGACACGGCCCAAACUCCUACGGGAGGCAGCAGUGGGGAAUAUUGCACAAUGGGGGAAACCCUGAUGCAGCGACGCCGCGUGAGCGAAGAAGUAUUUCGGUAUGUAAAGCUCUAUCAGCAGGGAAGAAAAUGACGGUACCUGACUAAGAAGCACCGGCUAAAUACGUG
rnacentral:rRNA from 1 species